rnacentral:rRNA from 1 species
CCUACGGGUGGCAGCAGUGGGGAAUAUUGCACAAUGGGGGAAACCCUGAUGCAGCGACGCCGCGGGGUUGAGGAAGUAUUUCGGUAUGUAAGGCUCUAUCAGCAGGGAGGAAACUGACGGUACCUGCCUAAGAAGCCCCGGCUAACUACGUGCCGGCAGCCGCGGUAAUACGUAGGGGGCAAGCGUUAUCCGGAUUUACUGGGUGUAAAGGGAGGGUAGACGGAAUAACAAGUCUGAUGUGAAAACCCGGGGCUCAACUCCGGGAGUGCAUUGGAAACUUUUGAUCUAGAGUGUCGGAGAGGCAAGCGGAAGUCCUAGUGUAGCGGUGAAAUGCGUAGAUAUUAGGAGGAACACCAGUGGCGAAGGCGGCUUGCUGGACGAUGACUGACGUUGAGGCUCGAAAGCGUGGGGAGCAAACAGGAUUAGAUACCCCAGUAGUC